GACGAACCGUGCGACCGUUGUUCGGAAUCACUGGGCUUAAAGGGCGCGUAGGCGGCUUCGCAAGUCCGGGGUGAAAGCCCCCAGCUCAACUGGGGAAGUGCCUUGGAUACUGCGGGGCUCGAGGGAGGUAGGGGUGCGUGGAACUUCCGGUGGAGCGGUGAAAUGCGUUGAUAUCGGAAGGAACGCCGGUGGCGAAAGCGACGCACUGGACCUCUUCUGACGCUGAGGCGCGAAAGCCAGGGGAGCAAACGGG
rnacentral:rRNA from 1 species